UGUUGGAACGGUAUGACUGUAAGACACAAUUUCUCUGAAUCCAAGACUCUACACUCUGCACGGUAGGCAGAAGUACCUCAUCAACUAGACAAGGAAUUAUGAAGAGACGCUGGCGAGCUCUUCUGGGGCUUCUGUGGGUCCAUGUUUGCUGGUUCAGCCAAGGAGAGAAGGUGGAGCAGCAUCCUUCUACCCUGAGUGUGCAGCAGGGAAGCAGCUCUGUUAUCAACUGCAGUUAUUCAGACAGUCGUUCAGACUACUUCCCUUGGUAUAAGCAAGAGCUUGGAAAAGGUCCCCAGCUCCUUAUAGACAUUCGUUCAAGCACGGCCACCAAAGAAGACCAAAGACUCACUGUUUUAUUGAAUAAGACAGCCAAACAUCUCUCCCUGCACAUCGCAGACACCCAGCCUGAAGACUCAGCUGUGUACUUCUGUGCAGCAAGCACACAUUGCUUCCCAGGCACCUGCUGCCUGCACUCAAACCUGGGUGUGGGGCAGCCCCCUGUCCUUUGACAAAGACCUUCAAGUAUAGCUUUUGUGCUGUUGUUUGUCUGCAAGUGGAAGCUAAUGUGUUAGACAUUAAAGGCAUAUAAUAAGACUAUUAGGAUGGAGAUGACCCAGACAGGGUUAGAACAUUUUGUUGGACGACUGUUGUUUAAUGGAUUCUUGAAUGGAGCUAGUAAUGUUUUAUUUUGAAAUUAAGGUUUUAAAGAACUAUACAUUUGCCAUUGAGACUACUGUCCUAUAAAUAACCCCUUAGUACCAAUGUACAGUCCUUUUUAUGGAUGAGCACUUAAAUAUUGUGUUUCAAAAGUAGCAUUUUUAAUUUUUGUGAUCUAAAAUAUUACAUGCCAAAUAUAGAAAUAUGAAAAGUACAAAUAUGAAUGUGAUAAUUCUGUAAUAUAUAAUGUUGUUAACAUUCUUUUGGUCUCUAGCUAUUUUUAUUAUAAUCAGAUUCAUGAAUUUUUCACUUUAUGGAUUUCAAUUUGAGCAUUCCCCAUUCCAAUUCUUUAUGUCAAACUUCAGCAUUGUUUUAAUUUCAUGUUUAAGUUUUCAUUUAAUUAGUGCAUUAUAAUACCUUUGUGAGGUAUUUAAUUAAAUAGAAUUUCAUUUAAUUUGGUUACUCUGUAUUUCAGGCAAAAUCUGACCACCAUUUCUAUGUGCUUUGAUCACUUUCUUGCUCAGGAAUUAGGUCACAGGUUUUCCUUUGGAGCCCAGGGAUGGUAUGUACUAUUUGUGUGUUUGAGGGAAAUUAAGAUAGGGAGUGAUUUGACAAUAUGAGCUUCAGAUAAAACUCAGAAAUCUAUUCUCAUUUAUAAAAUUCUGUAUCUGUUCAUAAUAACUCUCUCAUAAAACUUAGGAGACAGAAUUUUGUAUUUCAUUCAUUUCUAUACUUUCAGUACCUAGGAAAACUUUUCCACAUAAUUGGUUAUCAGUCGAUGUUAACGAAAGAAGGAAAGGACAAUUCUGUUACUGACUCAUAAUUUUAAUUUAAGCUUUCUGUUUGAAUUAUAUUUAUAAAUUGAUUUGUGAAAAAUUAAAGUCCUUAAAGUAUAUAUGUGAUUAUUUAAUUGUUUGAGAACAUAGUGCUUCUUUCCAUUUUUAUGUCUCUUUUUAUUAAUGAUGCUCUGCUGUUAGAAGGUUUUUCAAUUUAUUCUUGGACUUGUAAUUUUGUUAUCAUUGUAAUGAAAAACUUUCUUUCUGAGGUAUAUAGAAAAACUUUUAUAAGCAUAUAUCAGCCACCUUAUAUUAUUAGUAGAUUGCACAAAGGCAUUUGGACUAAUGGCUAACAUAGAGAUGAGGUUCUACCAACCUCCCUCCACAUGUUCAUGUAUGACUGAAUUAAACAUUAUUAACCACAA